rnacentral:rRNA from 1 species
AAUCAACGCUGGCGGCGUGCCUAACACAUGCAAGUCGCACGAGAAAGGGUAGCAAUACCUGAGUAAAGUGGCGCACGGGUGAGUAACACGUGACUAAUCUACCCUCGAGUGGGAAUAACUGAGAGAAAGUACUUAGCUAAUACCGCAUAACACUUACGAGUCAAAGCAGCAAUGCGCUUGGGGAGGAGGUCGCGGCAGAUUAGCUAGUUGGUGGGGUAAUGGCCACCAAGGCGAUGAUCUGUAUCCGGCCUGAGAGGGCGCACGGACACACUGGAACUGAAACACGGUCCAGACUCCUAC